GUAAUUAAGGCAAGGGGAGAGGCUCACAAGCGUGCUCGUGCAGCCAUUGGACUGCGCCGUGGCUCCUGUCGGAAACAGAGCCGUCCCGACGACGGCGAGAGAGAUGACCAGAAUUGACAAAUUCCUAAUCACGGCCAUGAUUAAGGUGAUGGAUGUUUGCUGAUGGGUUUUGGUCUUUUUUCAAGUGUGUUGAUGUUGGUUUUGGUUGUGGGGGAAUAUGUUUGGAGAUGGAGUACGUAGUGGGUUUAUAAAGGGAUCGAAAGUCGGAGACUUUAUUGUGGC
rnacentral:lncRNA from 1 species